rnacentral:rRNA from 1 species
CAGUAGCCGCGGUAAUACGUAGGGUGCAAGCGUUAAUCGGAAUUACUGGGCGUAAAGCGUGCGCAGGCGGUUAUAUAAGACAGAUGUGAAAUCCCCGGGCUCAACCUGGGAACUGCAUUUGUGACUGUAUAGCUAGAGUACGGCAGAGGGGGAUGGAAUUCCGCGUGUAGCAGUGAAAUGCGUAGAUAUGCGGAGGAACACCGAUGGCGAAGGCAAUCCCCUGGGCCUGUACUGACGCUCAUGCACGAAAGCGUGGGGAGCAAACAGGAUUAGAUACCCAGUAGUCCCUGUCUCUUAUACC